CCUAUGGAUAAUGAAGAACUUGCCUCCCACAUCUACAACAGCCUUAACUCUGAGUACAACCCGGCAGUCACCGCAAGAGUUGAGGCAAUCUCGAUCCCUGAGCUCUACUCUCAACUGCUCAGCUUCGAGA
rnacentral:snoRNA from 1 species